GGGUUGUGCUCAGUGGUGGAGCACUUGCCUAGCAUGUGCGAGGCCCUGGGUUCAAUCCUCAGCACCACACA
rnacentral:tRNA from 1 species